UAGAUUGGGGACUAAAAAUGAAACACAGAUCCCAAAACUGAAAACCAACAAAACAGCGCCCACGGUGUGUUUCUUCCCCUGGUAACUUAAAAUUUAAAAACUCUCACCAUUGCAAACGCACUAUUCUUCAUUCUCAAGAAAUUUGCUUCAAAUAAUUCAUCUGGAUUUCACCAAAUCAUGGCGCCGACAGCAGCAAUGCUCAUAUUAGGGCACUACUACAAACCAACGCCGUCACGUAUUUACAAUUGUUCAUUGUCGCCUUCUGGAUCUGUUUCUCAAGUGAAAGCGUCGAUCGCCAAGUGCUUUUCACGUUUCAGUACCGUAUUCCGACGAGAAGAGUCAGUCGCCGCUGGAAGAGUGGAAAUGAGAUUUCGAUGGGAAUGGUAGGUUAUUAUCUUUAUGAAAAUGUGUAAAAUUCUGUGUUGUUUUAUUUCGGAGUCCUCUUCUAUCCUCUGAACUUCUGAAGCUGUAUAAAGUCAAGUAUUUUAGCUAUCGAAUGUGCAGAGUUUUAACUUCCAAA
rnacentral:lncRNA from 1 species